ACAGCAACUAGAAGAGGAACAAGAACUGUCCAAGCUGGGUGAAGUCUCGGUUUAUAUACGUUUUGGUUUUAGGAUGUUGAGGGGCUAGGUGUAGGUUAUGAUGUAGAAAAGUGUCCGAAGGUCGGGGGUCCAUAUCCUAUCUCUGAUGUGGACGGAGGUGCGUCACAGCCUUGGUGUAUGCUAUGAUGAUAAGGUGGUGAUGUGUCCAAAAGUGUCCGAAGGUCGGGUGUCGAUGUAUUAUCACUGAUGUAGGUUGAGAUGUGAUUGAUGUCACAAGAGCUUGGUCGAAUAUUAACUUUCAACAACUCUUUUCAAACUCACCAGUCACAAGCCACGGUUUACUGAAUACAUCUUUUUGGAAAAUCCUUUUUAGAUUUUCGUACAAGGAACAUGGUUUGUUUGACAAGGGAUUUUCUUUUGAAGCAAUUUGGGGUGACAAAAAGGUCUUUUUGUUAGGUAGCUUAUCAAUAAAAAUGUUUUAUUAAUGACGUAACUGGAACGAAUACUAACGAAUUUAAAUAGAAUCGACGACCAAAUGGAAUAUAUCUUCUUUUCAAUUUUCAUAAAUCGAAAGCCCUAUGGAUACGUAUAAAUGUUUCUUUUACUCGUAGUAAAUUAUUAUUAUUCUAUUAUACGUGUGUAUACUACAGAAGGACCAUACUAAUAGGCACCAACAGCUUUCAUCUAACAUAAUAUUUUCAUGGAAUCUUAUAAUCAUCUUCGCCUCAUUGUCUCCGAAUAAGUCGUAUUUAACAACAUUUCGAAUUUCGAUUUGUUGAAAAAGCCGCUCAAAUUGAUGCACAAAUUUGACUUCGCAAAUCGCCUUUUUGCACUCCCCGUACUGGCGAGAACGAAGAUAAAUGUUCGGCACUGAGCUACUGCUCAGUUGCUACGAGUUAAUCCUCGUUUUGCUUCAAGUAAAUGAAACGCUCUAAUCUGUAAGACGUCCAUAAGAUUCGGUUGACGGUGGCUGUUUCGUGUUAAUCGGUGUCUCAAUUUUCUAAUUUAAUUAUUGUGCUCGAUUUAAUGACA